GCUAAACAGCUAGCUUAACUAUAAGAAUUAACAACACAACAUUAAUUUUUUCUUUUUGACUCAACUAUAAAUAACUAAAACAUUUUCCUGCCUUAGUACGGGCGACAGAAAAGGCACUAAAAGCAAUAGAACUAGUACCGCAAGGGAAAGCUGAAAAAGAAAUGAAAUAAACCAUUAAAGCUAAAAAAAGCAGAGACGAACCCUCGUACCUUUUGCAUCAUGAUUUAGCUAGUAAUUUGGAGCGAAGAGAAACUUUAGUUCCUACCCCCGAAACCAAGUGAGCUACCCCGAGACAGCCUUUGUAGGGCCAACCCGUCUCUGUCGCAAAAGAGUGGGAAGAUCUCUGGGUAGCGGUGACAGACCUAUCGAACUUGGUGAUAGCUGGUUGCCUAAGAAAUGGAUAUAAGUUCAGCCUCGUGUUCCCCCACCCAUUCAAGCGCUCACACCUUAUGGGAAAGAGAAAAUCACAAGAGUUAGUCAAAGGGGGUACAGCCCCUUUGAACCAGGACACAACCUGACCAGGAGGUUAAGAUUCACAUUCAACAAGAUACACCGCUUUAGUGGGCCUAAAAGCAGCCACCUACCUAGAAAGCGUUAAAGCUCAAGCAGACCAAAAAUCUAUUAUACUGAUAUUCCACACCUAUACCCCUACCCAUAUUAGGCCUCUCCAUGCCUCCAUGGAAGAGACACUGCUAAAACGAGUAACAAGAAGAUAACCUCUUCUCCACGCCUCAGUGUAAAUUAGAUCGGACCCACCACUAAUAAUUAACGAACCCAACCAAAGAGGGAAAUGUGACCAUAAAACAAAACCAAGAAAAUCCCACAAAAAAAAUCGUUAACCCAACACCGGAGGGCUUCAAGGAAAGAUUAAAAGAAAGGGAAGGAACUCGGCAAAUACAAGCCUCGCCUGUUUACCAAAAACAUCGCCUCCUGCAAAAAUCAAUGUAUAGGAGGUCUUGCCUGCCCAGUGACUUAAGUUAAACGGCCGCGGUAUUUUGACCGUGCAAAGGUAGCGCAAUCACUUGUUUUUUAAAUAAAGACCUGUAUGAACGGUGAGACGAGGGCUUAACUGUCUCCCCUCUCCAAUCAGUGAAACUGAUCUACCCGUGCAGAAGCGGGUAUACAUCUACAAGACGAGAAGACCCUAUGGAGCUUAAGACAUAAAAUCAACUGUGUAAAAAUCCUUGAAAACAGGACUACAACAACAUCAGUAACUGAUUUUAGUCUUCGGUUGGGGCGACCGCGGGGGAAAAAAAAUCCCCCAUGUGGAAUGGAGCUUUCUCCAAAACCACGAGGCACACCUCUAAGUCACAGAACUUCUGACCAAAAGAUCCGGCACAAGCCGACCAACGGACCAAGUUACCCUAGGGAUAACAGCGCAAUCCUCUCCAAGAGUCCCUAUCGCCAAGAGGGUUUACGACCUCGAUGUUGGAUCAGGACAUCCUAAUGGUGCAGCCGCUAUUAAGGGUUCGUUUGUUCAACGAUUAAAGUCCUACGUGAUCUGAGUUCAGACCGGAGCAAUCCAGGUCAGUUUCUAUCUGUAAAGCUGCUUCUCCUAGUACGAAAGGACCGGGGAUGUGAGGCCCCUGCUUACAACACCGCCUUACUUUUAUCUAAUGAAACCAACUCAAUUAAAUAAAGAAAAGCAUAAAUACCCCUAGAGAUAGUUCAGG
rnacentral:rRNA from 1 species